AUUGAACGCUGGCGGCAUGCCUUACACAUGCAAGUCGAACGGCAGCACGGGAGCAAUCCUGGUGGCGAGUGGCGAACGGGUGAGUAAUAUAUCGGAACGUGCCCAGUAGUUGGGGAUAACUGCUCGAACGAGCAGCUAAUACCGCAUACGACCUGCGGGUGAAAGGGGGGCAUCGCAAGACCUCCCGCUACUGGAGCGGCGGAUAUCAGAUUAGCUAGGUGGUGGGGUAAAGGCCUACCAAGGCAACGAUCUGUAGUUGGUCUGAGAGGACGACCAGCCACACUGGGACUGAGACACGACCCAGACUCCUACGGGAGGCAGCUGUGGGGAAUUUUGGACAAUGGGCGCAAGCCUGAUCCAGCAAUGCCGCGUGCAGGAAGAAGGCCUUCGGGUUGUAAACUGCUUUUGUCAGGGAAGAAAUCCUCUAGGUUAAUACCCUUGGGGGGAUGACGGUACCUGAAGAAUAAGCACCGGCUAACUACGUGCCAGCAGCCGCCGUAACAC
rnacentral:rRNA from 1 species